UUCUGGAUAGCCUGAGAUCCGAUAAAAUUGUAACGAUACAAAGAAGAUUAGCAUGGCCCCUGCGCAAGGAUGACACGCAUAAAUCGAGAAAUGACCCUUUUUAUU